UAGCUGUGGAGGAAAAGGAGAGAUCGUGGCUGAGGAGGAGGUUUCUUACAGUGUGUCACCCCAGUAGUAAGGUAUUAUGACUGUAAAGCAACCGUCCUGCGUAAAAAAAAAAAAAAAAAAAAAGGAAUUCAGGAAGUGGGAGCAGGAGUUCCGGAACAUCUCCUGCCAGAGGGUCGGAGUGAGACAGGCCUUGAGUCCGAGAGUGCUGGUGAUCAACCAGGUCCAUCUGCAGGGAGGAUGGUCCGCCAUCAAAACUUGCCCCAGUCCUGUCCUCAGCACCGACUGAGAUAGAUGUGGAGGAGGAGGUGUCCCCAGGUGCACAAUACCAACCACUCUCCCCAACCCUAGCUCCUGGCUCUGUCCCAAGGGAUACUUACAUGCAGCUUGUUAAAGAAAACCAAAGGCUGGCCAAGGACAACAGGAACAUGUCGUGCGAAUUACGCCGGAUGAAUCGCACCAUGCUUGAACUCCACCGGUCGCAAAAACAAGAGUUCCAAGCCCUGUUGGCCAAACAAAUGGGAGAAUUUCAGGCUAUGUUGUCCCACCAUAGCCAACAGAUGCAGGCGAUGCAUGAUUUGAGGGUGGACGUUAUGUCAGCUCUCAGAGGUUGCCUGACCCCAUAAGCAGCAGCAGCAAUACCCCAAAAAAAAACUGAAAUAUACGGGACUAAAUUAGUUUGCCUUGUUGAUAUCUUUCAGUUGUUGUUCUGUUUAAGAUAUG